AGAAGUACACCUCUUAUAAGUUCUUAUAAGAACUCUGGAUCCAAAACAGAGAAAUCAUCUUCAGGCCUCAGAGACUACUGGAUGGCUACUGCAGACAUAAAAAUGGGAGAAAUCAUACUUUUUUUUUUGAGAAAAAUCUUUAAACAGAGGCUCAGACUAAUAGCUUCAAAGUUCCUGUCCAUCUGCAUAGAACUACUACAGUUGGAUUACCCAUACAUCAUUUUUCUAGGACACAGAAAAAAGCCAAAAUCCUUUCCAGUCAAUUAAAAAUAA